rnacentral:rRNA from 1 species
UAACUCGAUAAUCCACGUAUAUCCAACCUUCUCUUGACAUCCAGCAUGUGUACUGCCGUUGUAAGCAUACCUCUAAAAGAAAGUACGCCACUAUGACUAUAACUCAUAUACAUCAGGUCAAAGUGCAGCCGAUGAGAAGGUGAUGAUGGGUUACAACCCAAAAAUAGACUAUCAACUAAGAAAUAAAAAAUCUUACGAAAGUGGACUUGGCCGUAAUCAAUUUACAAGUUAAAAAAAUGAAUUAAUAUCUAAGACAUGCACACAUCGCCCGUCACUCUACCCUAAAGGCUAGAUAAGUCGUAACAAAGUAGGUGUAAUGGAAAUUGCACCUGUCGGAGUAUAGCAUAUAUAAUGCUUUUUACUUACACUAAAAAUAAAGUUAAUACUUACGCCGCCCACGUAAUCGCACCUUAAAACUAAUUUAUAAUACAAACAACUAACAUCAAUAUAGAAAAAGUACAGAAAUGGAAACAACAAUAAAUAAUAGUAAUUUUUAACAACUGUACCUUGUGCAUUAUGGUUUUACAAGAAAUCAAUUAAACACACAAAUCCCGAAUUCUAAAUGAGAUGUUAAACUGCUGUUAAGAACCCAUUAGUAACUGUAGAAAAAGCUUUAAAAGACAGUUUAACAGAGGCUACAUACCAUCCGCAUAAGAAUAUAGCUGGUUUUCAACAAACAUUAUACAUUAAAACAUAUAAUUAAUAUUAUAGUGUAACAUUAUUGAGGACAAGCCCAGUAAUCUGAACAAUAUUACAUCAAAUCUAUUCUUACAAAUAGGCUUAAUAUCAGCCAACAAAAAUACUUUACCGUAAUAGAAAUUGAUAUAAUACAUAAUGUAGCAUGUAAAGGAAAGUUGAAAUACUGGGGAAACCCACUUACCCACCCAUACUAUGUAAAAAUAAGUAUUAAUAAACAUAAUAUCAAAUAACCAGAAAUUACAACAAACUUAUAAAUAAUAACUAAUUAAGGAACUCGGCGAA